UGGUGGAGCGAUUUGUCUGGUUAAUUCCGAUAACGAACGAGACUCUGGCCUAUUAAAUAGUUCGCCGAUUCCGAUCUGUCGGCGUUAACUUCUUAGAGGGACAAGUGGCUUUCAGCCACGCGAGAUUGAGCAAUAACA
rnacentral:rRNA from 1 species